AUUGAACGCUGGCGGCAUGCUUUACACAUGCAAGUCGAACGGCAGCGCGGGCUUCGGCCUGGCGGCGAGUGGCGAACGGGUGAGUAAUGCAUCGGAACGUGCCCAGUAGUGGGGGAUAGCCCGGCGAAAGCCGGAUUAAUACCGCAUACGACCUGAGGGUGAAAGCGGGGGACCGAAAGGCCUCGCGCUAUUGGAGCGGCCGAUGUCGGAUUAGCUAGUUGUUGGGGGAAAGGCUUACCAAGGCGACGAUCCGUAGCUGGUCUGAGAGGACGACCAGCCUCACUUGGACUGAGACACGGCCCAGACUCCUACGGGAGGCAGCCGUGGGGAAUUUUCGACACUGGGGGCAACCCUGAUCCAGCCAUGCCGCGUGCGGGAAGAAGGCCUUCGGGUUGUAAACCGCUUUUGUUCGGGAAGAAAUCCUCUGGGCUAAUACCCCGGGGGGAUGACGGUACCGGACGAAUAAGCACCGGCUAACUACGUG
rnacentral:rRNA from 1 species